ensembl:Mt_tRNA
ACUAGUGUAGCUUAUUAAAAGCGUAGCACUGAAAAUGCUAAGAUGAGAAGUAACAUUUUCCGCAAGUA